rnacentral:rRNA from 1 species
GACGAACGCUGGCGGCGUGCUUAACACAUGCAAGUCGAACGGAAAGGCCCUGCUUUUGUGGGGUGCUCGAGUGGCGAACGGGUGAGUAACACGUGAGUAACCUGCCCUUGACUUUGGGAUAACUUCAGGAAACUGGGGCUAAUACCGGAUAGGAGCUCCUGCUGCAUGGUGGGGGUUGGAAAGUUUCGGCGGUUGGGGAUGGACUCGCGGCUUAUCAGCUUGUUGGUGGGGUAGUGGCUUACCAAGGCUUUGACGGGUAGCCGGCCUGAGAGGGUGACCGGCCACCUUGGGGCCUGGGUACCGCCCAGACCUCCACGGGAGGGAGCAGGGGGGAAUAUUGCCAAAUGGGCGGAAGGCUUAUUCAGGCACCCCGGCGGCGGGAUGACGGCCUUUGGGGUUGAAACCGCUUUUGCCUGGGACGAAGCGGGGGGGAAGGUAAUGGGUAAAGAAGCCACGGCUUACUACCUG